rnacentral:rRNA from 1 species
AUUAUCGACAAAGUCACCCUCAAUGCAUGUGAUCUUGACUGAUCUUGUAAGCUAUGCAGGAUUUCAGUGGUUUGUACUCGGAUGGGAGACUGCUUGGCAACACCAGGUGAUGAAU